GCGGACGUAGCUCAGUUGGUAGAGCGCAACCUUCCCAAGGUUGAUGUCGCGAGUUCGAGCCUCGUCGUCCGCUCCA
rnacentral:tRNA from 3 species